rnacentral:rRNA from 1 species
GAUGAAGAACGCAGCGAAAUGCGAUACUUGGUGUGAAUUGCAGAAUCCCGUGAACCAUCGAGUCUUUGAACGCAAGUUGCGCCCAAAGCCUUCGGGCCGAGGGCACGUCUGCCUGGGUGUCACGC